ACGUGGACUGUCUGGGGGGAGAGCGAAAAUGUGGACUGUCUGGGGAUCUUCGAGGGCCAACUUCAGAAACGCUAAAGUGGCACCACUGAUGCCCCCAGUCGUUUAAUCGGCAGAAUCAGACUCCAGUUCGAACAAAGCCGAGCACCUCGAGGCAUCGCCAGCCCCUCCGCCUCGCUCCGAUGGCGUUAUUUCCGUCCUUCAGGGAACAAGCGCAGAUCGCCGAAAAAAGUGGGUUAAGCCCGCGGAACGUGUCUGAGAACGGCAGGUAUUCUGGGCCUGGUGCGUCCCAGCUCCUCAUCGCUCUAAUAAUCGCCCCGGUUCAGCCCAAUCAGCUGCCUCCUGCAAAUCCCACAGCCCUUUAUACUGCAGCCAAACACGUGAAUUAUGUUUGUUAACACUUAGGAACCAGAAUGUGUACCAUGUGACACGUGUAGCCGCUGCUCUGUAUGAGCCUGUUAAAUAGCCUCUCAGGGACUCAGGGAGAUGAAACAGCGACAUCAUGGGCCUCCGGGACGCAUCAGCCGGGUACGUCGUGGCAGGUGAGUUAUGGAAUGAGCCACCAACUCCCUUCAAUAGGCCAGAAAUACCUGCUCACGUUGUGCCGGCGGCCUGUGUGUCUGUUUUGAUGUCUUUCAGAGGAUGAAAGCAGACAGCCUUCUUUCCUGGCGGGCGUGAACGAGACACACCACUCGCUUCCGCGUGGCCGCCGUCCAGGCCCCGCCCCUCUGGAACGCCCGUCGCCACACACUGUGGCCGCCGUCCAAUUCACACUCUGCCUCAAUUAGCCGCAGGAAACGGGGCUCAGGUGCAGCGAGAAGCGGCCAGCGUCACGCACUCCCACCCUGGGGAGCAAUCGCAGAACAUCACUCCAACAGCAGGGGGCUCAGCAGUUGAGGAACAAGGAGGAAUCUGCUGUACCGACGGCCAGAAAAUGUCGAGGGGGGAGACCAUAUGCGCCUCAUGAAAGACAGAUGCAUGCGCACAGGUGCGUCAUGCACGGAGACCGCCUCAGAAAGGUGGAGGCGGGUGGCCGCAGAGGCAGGGGCCCGGGGACAGACAGAGCAGAUGCUCUAGAUCCGGAGGACCUGUGGCUCCGUCUCUGCGAGCAAGAAUCUGGGUCUGCAUCUGGCCCCGGUGAUUGGAGCCAGGGUGAAGAAACCGGGCAGAGGAGUCAGAGCAGGGGAGCUGGGUGGAGGAGUCAGGGCAGAGAAGCCAAGCUGGAGGAACCAGGGAAGAGGAGUCGGUUGGAGGAGUCAUGGCAGAGGAGCUUGGUGGAGGAGCCGGACCAGACAAGCCACCUGCAGCACAGGCAUGCAGGUCUCAGCACGGCACAGAAACAUUGUGUGUUACGGCGCAGAAACCCCAAAGGGGGCUGAUCGCAGUUCUCCGCUGACCUCUCGUGCCGCAAUCUCAGCGGCUAAUGGAACGAUGACCAGAAACUUGUUUGUUCGAAUCCCAAAAGGGUUUCUAUGUUGUACCUUUGAGCGACCAGUAAAAACUGCCAUAAAAGACUUUUUUAUGUGUGGUUAAAGUAUCAAAAUGUGUAUUGGAUAAGCUUAUUAGAUAAUCAUAUUUGACUCCCAGAAAGGGCCCUUCUGUUGUACCUUGGCACAAGCCAGCAUAAAAUGCCAUAAA